rnacentral:rRNA from 1 species
GGUGAACGCUGGCGGUAGGCCUAACACAUGCAAGUCGAACGGCAGCACAGUAAGAGCUUGCUCUUACGGGUGGCGAGUGGCGGACGGGUGAGGAAUACAUCGGAAUCUACCUUUUCGUGGGGGAUAACGUAGGGAAACUUACGCUAAUACCGCAUACGACCUACGGGUGAAGGCAGGGGAUCUUCGGACCUUGCGCGAUUGAAUGAGCCGAUGUCGGAUUAGCUAGUUGGCGGGGUAAAGGCCCACCAAGGCGACGAUCCGUAGCUGGUCUGAGAGGAUGAUCAGCCACACUGGAACUGAGACACGGUCCAGACUCCUACGGGAGGCAGCAGUGGGGAAUAUUGGACAAUGGGCGCAAGCCUGAUCCAGCCAUACCGCGUGGGUGAAGAAGGCCUUCGGGUUGUAAAGCCCUUUUGUUGGGAAAGAAAAGCAGCAGGUUAAUACCCCGCUGUUCUGACGGUACCCAAAGAAUAAGCACCGGCUAACUUCGUG